rnacentral:lncRNA from 10 species
AAAUACCUCACCCUCAUCUAUACCAACUACGAGGUGGGCAAGGGUGACUUAUGUGAAGGCACUCCCCAGGCAACUGAAGCCUUUUGAGACCCUGCCGUCCCAGAACCAGGGAGGAUAGGCCUUCAUUGUGGGCGACCAGAUAUCCCUCGCUUACUACAACCUGCUGGACUUGCUGAUCCAUGAGGUCCUGGCCACCAGCUGCCUGGAUGUGUUCCCCCUGCUCUCGGCCUACAUGGCACACCUCAGCGUCCGGCCCAAGCUCAAGGCCUUCCUGGCCUCCACUGAGCACCUGAACCACCCCAUCAAUGGCAACGGGAAA